rnacentral:rRNA from 1 species
CCUACGGGAGGCAGCAGUGGGGAAUAUUGGACAAUGGGGGCAACCCUGAUCCAGCCAUGCCGCGUGUGUGAAGAAGGCCCUCGGGUUGUAAAGCACUUUCAGUGAGGAAGAACGCCUGGUGGUUAAUACCCAUCAGGAAAGACAUCACUCACAGAAGAAGCACCGGCUAACUCCGUGCCAGCAGCCGCGGUAAUACGGAGGGUGCGAGCGUUAAUCGGAAUUACUGGGCGUAAAGCGCGCGUAGGUGGCUUGAUAAGCCGGUUGUGAAAGCCCCGGGCUCAACCUGGGAACGGCAUCCGGAACUGUCAAGCUAGAGUGCAGGAGAGGAAGGUAGAAUUCCCGGUGUAGCGGUGAAAUGCGUAGAGAUCGGGAGGAAUACCAGUGGCGAAGGCGGCCUUCUGGACUGACACUGACCCUGAGGUGCGAAAGCGUGGGUAGCAAACAGGAUUAGAUACCCUGGUAGUC